UACCAAUGAUGACAUUAUUUGCUACUCUUGACUUUCAGAGUGACGACAUACAAAUCACCAAGAUCGCUGAGAUA